UCGAACGGACCGCUUACUGUGCUUGCGCGGUGGGUUGGUUAGUGGCGAACGGGUGAGUAACACGUGAGUAACCUGCCCCCUUCUUCGGGAUAACGUUUGGAAACAGAUGCUAAUACCGGGUAUUUACCUCAUGUCGCAUGGUGUGGGGUGGAAAGGUUUUUUCUGGUGGGGGAUGGGCUCGCGGCCUAUCAGCUUGUUGGUGGGGUGAUGGCCUACCAAGGCUUUGACGGGUAACCGGCCUGAGAGGGUGACCGGUCACAUUGGGACUGAGAUACGGCCCAGACUCCUACGGGAGGCAGCAGUGGGGAAUUUUGCACAAUGGGCGAAAGCCUGAUGCAGCGACGCCGCGUGAGGGAUGACGGCCUUCGGGUUGUAAACCUCUUUCGCUCAUGGUCAAGGCUAGUUUUUGUUCUAGUUGAGGGUAGUGGGUAAAGAAGCGCCGGCUAACUACGUGCCAGCAGCCGCGGUAAUACGUAGGGCGCGAGCGUUGUCCGGAAUUAUUGGGCGUAAAGGGCUUGUAGGCGGCUUGUCGCGUCUGCCGUGAAAUCCUGGGGCUUAACCUUGGGCUUGCGGUGGGUACGGGCUGGCUUGAGUGCGGUAGAGGGAGACUGGAAUUCCUGGUGUAGCGGUGGAAUGCGCAGAU
rnacentral:rRNA from 1 species